rnacentral:rRNA from 1 species
UGACAGUACUCCUACGGGGAGGCAGCAGUGGGGGAAUAUUGCACAAUGGGCGCAAGCCUGAUGCAGCCAUGCCGCGUGUGUGAAGAAGGCCUUCGGGUUGUAAAGCACUUUCAGUCGUGAGGAAGGUAGUGUAGUUAAUAGCUGCAGUAUUUGACGUUAGCGACAGAAGAAGCACCGGCUAACUCCGUGCCAGCAGCCGCGGUAAUACGGAGGGUGCGAGCGUUAAUCGGAAUUACUGGGCGUAAAGCGCAUGCAGGUGGUUUGUUAAGUCAGAUGUGAAAGACCCGGGGCUCAACCUCGGAAUAGCAUUUGAAACUGGCAGACUAGAGUACUGUAGAGGGGGGUAGGAAUUUCAGGUGUAGCGGUGAAAUGCGUAGAGAUCUGAAGGAAUACCGGUGGCGAAGGCGGCCCCCUCGGACAGAUACUGACACUCAGAUGCGAAAGCGUGGGGAGCAAACAGGAUUAGAUACCCUGGUAG